GCAGCAGCCACGGUAAUACGAAGGGGGCUAGCGUUGUUCGGAUUUACUGGGCGUAAAGCGCACGUAGGCGGACUUUUAAGUCAGGGGUGAAAUCCCGGGGCUCAACCCCGGAACUGCCUUUGAUACUGGAAGUCUUGAGUAUGGUAGAGGUGAGUGGAAUUCCGAGUGUAGAGGUGAAAUUCGUAGAUAUUCGGAGGAACACCAGUGGCGAAGGCGGCUCACUGGACCAUUACUGACGCUGAGGUGCGAAAGCGUGGGGAGCAAACAGGAUUAGAUACCCCAGUAGUCCCUGUCUCUUAUAC
rnacentral:rRNA from 1 species